GGGUAUUGUAAGUGGCAG
rnacentral:snRNA from 1 species